rnacentral:rRNA from 1 species
AUUGAACGCUGGCGGCAGGCCUAACACAUGCAAGUCGAGCGGAGCGGCGGACGGGUGAGGAAUACAUAGGAAUCUGACUGGUAGUGGGGGAUAACGUCCAGAAACGGGCGCUAAUACCGCAUACUAUCAGAUUAGCCUAGGUCGGAUUAGCUAGUUGUGGGGGUAAAGGCCUACCAAGGCGACGAUCCGUAACUGGUCUGAGAGGAUGAUCAGUCACACUGGAACUGAGACACGGUCCAGACUCCUACGGGAGGCAGCAGUGGGGAAUAUUGGACAAUGGGCGAAAGCCUGAUCCAGCCAUGCCGCGUGUGUGAAGAAGGUCUUCGGGUUGUAAAGCACUUUAAGUUGGGAGGCGUUACCAACAGAAUAAGCACCGGCUAACUUCGUGCCAGCAGCCGCGGUAAUUC